AUGGAAGGAUCUUCAGUCCCCUGGAGCUUCAAGCAACAAAGCCAUAGGCUUCACGGCAACACAUUCUAUGAUUUUCUUCCCAAAUCUGAAACUAUUUGGCCCCUAAAUUGUAGUCCCCUUGAGAAAGUCAGAGUAUUGGUGGUCUGGUCUAUGGAUGUUGACAAAUUUGAUUGCAGCCGGGACCGCAAAGAAAGUGUAGUGCUCUUCAUUGUAGAUAUCUGCAGGGCAACAUCAAAUUUCAGUGACAAGAACAUGGCCAGGCAGGGAGCUUCAUGCAUCAUUGCAUGUGGGUAUUCUUUACUAUUAUGA
rnacentral:rRNA from 1 species